UGGGGAAUAUUGCACAAUGGGGGAAACCCUGAUGCAGCAACGCCGCGUGAAGGAAGAAGGUCUUCGGAUUGUAAACUUCUAUCGACAGGGAAGAAAGAAAUGACGGUACCUGAAUAAGAAGCCCCGGCUAACUACGUGCCAGCAGCCGCGGUAAUACGUAGGGGGCAAGCGUUAUCCGGAAUUACUGGGUGUAAAGGGUGAGUAGGCGGCAGAUUAAGUCAUAUGUGAAACCCCGGGGCUUAACCCCGGGCUUGCAUAAGAAACUGGUUUGCUUGAGUGCAGGAGAGGUAAGCGGAAUUCCUAGUGUAGCGGUGAAAUGCGUAGAUAUUAGGAAGAACACCAGUGGCGAAGGCGGCUUACUGGACUGUAACUGACGCUGAGUCACGAAAGCGUGGGGAGC
rnacentral:rRNA from 1 species